rnacentral:rRNA from 1 species
GUAGGGAAUAUUGGACAAUGGGCGAAAGCCUGAUCCAGCCAUGCCGCGUGAGUGAUGAAGGCCUUAGGGUUGUAAAGCUCUUUCAGCGGGGAAGAUAAUGACGGUACCCGCAGAAGAAGCCUCGGCUAACUCCGUGCCAGCAGCCGCGGUAAUACGGAGGAGGCUAGCGUUGUUCGGAAUUACUGGGCGUAAAGCGUGCGUAGGCGGUUUUUUAAGAUGAGUGUGAAAGCCCGGAGCUCAACUCCGGAACUGCGCUCAUGACUGGAAAGCUGGAGUCCGAGAGAGGUGAGUGGAAUUCCCAGUGUAGAGGUGAAAUUCGUAGAUAUUGGGAAGAACACCAGUGGCGAAGGCGGCUCACUGGCUCGGUACUGACGCUGAUGCACGAAAGCGUGGGGAGCAAACAGGAUUAGAUACCCGGGUAGUCC